rnacentral:lncRNA from 1 species
GAAAGCUGCUUGUCCAGGAGAUAGCAAAAUGCUGACAAAUGAGAAACAGACCUGCAUAGCCAUCACACCCUCUAGAACCAAGGGGUAGUGUUUUAAGAUAGAGGACUGGGUGAGUAUCAGAAAGCUGUGCUUUGAAAACCUGACUGCUUUUAAGUAUUUCCUGUUUUGUUCUCAUUUUGUAGGUAUUAGAAUUAUUUCUGAAUUAUCAGUCUCUCAUUUGUGCUUUGGAGAAGCAGAAAAGGCAAAAGGGGUCUUUGGCCAUCUUCUGCUGGAGCUUCCAGGGAGGAUGUGUCUCCAAGAGACCAGAUGUACCGAGUUUGAAAUCCCAGAAGCCCAAGAGGAAAAGAAUCACAGGGAGGAAAAGACUGUCCAAAGGCUUCUGGAGUCUUCUGUUCUCUAACCUUGGAAGGUUUUGAACAAUAUUUCUCAGAGGAUAGCCUUUCACUUAUUCAUCUGUCCAGCAUGACUCAUCCCCGGGAGUGUUGAUGCUUUGUUUACAACGAAUGUCUUACAAAUGCUGACUGAACACUAGCAUACCUGCAUGAACAACAGUGUCUGUCUUCACCAAGAAGGACGACUUUGAUUGGCUGUAAUUGGCCACUGUUGCUAAUGGAGUAGAGAGAGUCUUGCUACAUGCGGGAACUAGAAUUACAUCACUGCGUUUUUUGGCUUUGUUUCUUCAAUGGGUUGUAGUGUAUGAAUAUUAUUACAAAAUAAAAUGAUUUAAAAAUA